rnacentral:rRNA from 1 species
CAAUAGCGUAUAUUAAAGUUGUUGCAGUUAAAAGCUCGUAGUUGAACUUUGGGCCUGGCAGGCCGGUCCGCUUUUUGGCGAGUACUGACCCUGCCGGGCCUUUCCUUCUGGCUACCCUCCCCUCUGGAGAGGCGACCAGGACUUUUACUUUGAAAAAUUAGAGUGUUCAAAGCAGGCCUUUGCUCGAAUAUAUUAGCAUGGAAUAAUAGAAUAGGACGUUUGGUUCUAUUUUGUUGGUUUCUAGGACCAUCGUAAUGAUUAAUAGGGACGGUCGGGGCAUCAGUAUUCAGUUGUCAGAGGUGAAAUUCUUGGAUUUACUGAAGACUAACUACUGCGAAAGCAUUUGCCAAGGACGUUUUCAUUAAUCAAGAACGAAAGUUAGGGGAUCGAAGAACGAUCA